ACGGGGCGCAGCAGGCGCGAAAACUUGGCAAUGCGAGCAAUCGUGACCAGGGAACUCCAAGUGCNUCGGGUAAGACCNACGCUUUUCUUGACUCUUCAAAGGUCUUGGAAUAAGGGGUGGGUAAGGACGGUGCCAGCCGCCGCGGUAAUACCGGCGCCUCAAGUGGUAGUCGCUUUUAUUGGGCCUAAAACGUCCGUAGCCGGUUUGGUACAUUCGUGGGUAAAUCAACCCGCUCAACGGGUUGAAUUCUGCGAGCACGGCCAGACUUGGGACCGGGAGAGGUGUGGGGUACUCUCAGGGUAGGGGUAAAAUCCUGUCAUCCUGAGAGGACCACCUGUUGCGAAGGCGCCACACUAGAACGGAUCCGACGGUCAGGGACGAAACCUAGGGGCACGAACCGGAUUAGAUACCCGGGUAGUCCUAGGUGUAAACGCUGUGGACUUGAUGUUGGGGGCGCUCCGAGCGCCCUCAGUGUCGAAGCGAAGGUGAUAAGUCCACUGCCUGGGGAGUACGGGCGCAAGGNUAAAACUUAAAGGAAUUGGCGGGGGAGCGC
rnacentral:rRNA from 1 species